UACGAAGGGGGCUAGCGUUGCUCGGAAUUACUGGGCGUAAAGGGCUCGUAGGUGGCCAACUAAGUCAGACGUGAAAUCCCUCGGCUUAACCGGGGAACUGCGUCUGAUACUGGAUGGCUUGAGUUUGGGAGGGGGAUGCGGAAUUCCAGGUGUAGCGGUGAAAUGCGUAGAUAUCUGGAGGAACACCGGUGGCGAAGGCGGCAUCCUGGACCAACACUGACGCUGAGUGAGCGAAAGCCAGGGGAGCAAACGGG
rnacentral:rRNA from 1 species